AUGAACGCUAGCUACAGGCUUAACACAUGCAAGUCGAGGGGCAGCAUGAACUUAGCUUGCUAAGUUUGAUGGCGACCGGCGCACGGGUGAGUAACACGUAUCCAACCUGCCGAUGACUCGGGGAUAGCCUUUCGAAAGAAAGAUUAAUACCCGAUGGCAUAGUUCUUCCGCAUGGUGGAACUAUUAAAGAAUUUCGGUCAUCGAUGGGGAUGCGUUCCAUUAGGUUGUUGGCGGGGUAACGGCCCACCAAGCCUUCGAUGGAUAGGGGUUCUGAGAGGAAGGUCCCCCACAUUGGAACUGAGACACGGUCCAAACUCCUACGGGAGGCAGCAGUGAGGAAUAUUGGUCAAUGGACGAGAGUCUGAACCAGCCAAGUAGCGUGAAGGAUGACUGCCCUAUGGGUUGUAAACUUCUUUUAUACGGGAAUAAAGUGAGGCACGUGUGCCUUUUUGUAUGUACCGUAUGAAUAAGGAUCGGCUAACUCCGUGCCAGCAGCCGCGGUAAUACGGAGGAUCCGAGCGUUAUCCGGAUUUAUUGGGUUUAAAGGGAGCGUAGGCGGACGCUUAAGUCAGUUGUGAAAGUUUGCGGCUCAACCGUAAAAUUGCAGUUGAUACUGGGUGUCUUGAGUACAGUAGAGGCAGGCGGAAUUCGUGGUGUAGCGGUGAAAUGCUUAGAUAUCACGAAGAACUCCGAUUGCGAAGGCAGCCUGCUGGACUGUAACUGACGCUGAUGCUCGAAAGUGUGGGUAUCAAACAGGAUUAGAUACCCUGGUAGUCCACACAGUAAACGAUGAAUACUCGCUGUUUGCGAUAUACAGUAAGCGGCCAAGCGAAAGCGUUAAGUAUUCCACCUGGGGAGUACGCCGGCAACGGUGAAACUCAAAGGAAUUGACGGGGGCCCGCACAAGCGGAGGAACAUGUGGUUUAAUUCGAUGCAACGCGAAGAACCUUACCAGGGCUUGACAUAUAGAUGAAUAUAUAAGAGAUUAUAUAGCUCUUCGGAGCAUCUAUACAGGUGGUGCAUGGUUGUCGUCAGCUCGUGUCGUGAGAUGUUGGGUUAAGUCCCGCAACGAGCGCAACCCCUGUUUCUAGUUGCCAGCACGUCAAGGUGGGAACUCUAGAAAGACUGCCGUAGAUAAUACGGAGGAAGGUGGGGAUGACGUCAAAUCAUCAUGCCCUUUAUGACUUGGGCUACACACGUACUACAAUGGCGUUAAACAAAGAGAAGCAAGACCGCGAGGUGGAGCAAAACUCAGAAACAACGUCCCAGUUCGGACUGCAGGCUGCAACUCGCCUGCAUGAAGUCGGAAUUGCUAGUAAUCGCGGAUCAGCAUGCCGCGGUGAAUACGUUCCCGGGCCUUGUACACACCGCCCGUCACACCAUGAGAGCCGGUAAUGCCCGAAGUCCAUAGUCUAACCGCAAGGAGGACGUGGCCGAAGGCAGGACUGGUAAUUAGGGUG
rnacentral:rRNA from 1 species